AUCGCGUCAUCCACUGACGUCACCGCACACGCGAGACCCCGCCCCGUCCUGCGAAACCCUGAAAUAACCGCCAAUGAGCGCGGCGCAUGCUCUGUGGAAGGCGGCCGUGUGAGUAACGUGGACCCUUCCAGUACAGAUGAAAUCUUUGGAUCUCAAGCAAUAAUUCCACCAUUUCAGGAGUGAAAAGAUCAGGUGACGAUAACCAACCAAAUCUUAAGGGGCCGUGCGCGGGUCCCGCUUCAGAUACUCCCCCAGUUCAUUCUGCAGUAGAUCCUUCAGUUCUCUCCGACUCAACUUGUACUUAUCACCUUCACGGGCCGAGUACGUGUGGAAAACAGAGAUAAGUGUCUCCAUGGCUUCUUCCAGCUGCGAAGACAUCUCUGAGGAGGACAAAACGGGCUCAGUGCUGCCCCCAGUGGCUGUAGGGAUAUAUGACAGCGGGAUCGUCCCAUCCAUGACUCAGAGCCCGGUCUGUGCCUCCUCCUUCCUGUUAUCCCGGGAUGGGAAUGUAAGUAAGAAGAACCUUGUACUUACCGUAUUACUAACCCCC